GUCGAGGGGCAGCGGGGGUGCAGGCUUGCCUGCACCUGCCGGCGACCGUCGCACGGGUGAGUAACACGUAUGGAACCUGCCCGCCACAGGGGGAUAACCCGGGGAAACCCGGCCUAAUACCCCAUGCCGCCCGGACCGGGCAUCCGGACCGGGCGAAAGGAGGAAUCCGGUGGCGGCUGGGCAUGCGGCGCAUUAGCUUGACGGCGGGGUAACGGCCCACCGUGGCGACGAUGCGUAGGGGUUCUGAGAGGAAGGCCCCCCACACUGGAACUGAGACACGGUCCAGACUCCUACGGGAGGCAGCAGUGAGGAAUAUUGGUCAAUGGGCGGAAGCCUGAACCAGCCAAGUCGCGUGAGGGAAUAAGGCCCUACGGGUCGUAAACCUCUUUUGCCGGGGAGCAAGGGCCGGGACGAGUCCCGGUCCGGAGAGUACCCGGAGAAAAAGCAUCGGCUAACUCCGUGCCAGCAGCCGCGGUAAUACGGAGGAUGCGAGCGUUAUCCGGAUUUAUUGGGUUUAAAGGGUGCGUAGGCGGGCUUUUAAGUCAGCGGUAAAAAUUCGGGGCUCAACCCCGUCCGGCCGUUGAAACUGGGGGCCUUGAGUGGGCGAGAAGAAGGCGGAAUGCGUGGUGUAGCGGUGAAAUGCAUAGAUAUCACGCAGAACCCCGAUUGCGAAGGCAGCCUUCCGGCGCCCUACUGACGCUGAGGCACGAAAGUGCGGGGAUCGAACAGGAUUAGAUACCCUGGUAGUCCGCACAGU
rnacentral:rRNA from 1 species